rnacentral:rRNA from 1 species
UACGGAGGGUGCAAGCGUUAUCCGGAUUCACUGGGUUUAAAGGGUGCGUAGGUGGGCAGGUAAGUCAGUGGUGAAAUCUCCGGGCUUAACCCGGAAACUGCCAUUGAUACUAUCAGUCUUGAAUACCGUGGAGGUAAGCGGAAUAUGUCAUGUAGCGGUGAAAUGCUUAGAUAUGACAUAGAACACCAAUUGCGAAGGCAGCUUACUACCCGAAUAUUGACACUGAGGCACGAAGCGUGGGGAUCAAACAGGA